AGAAAUAAACUGGUCCGCGGUGACCCACGACUUCAAGGCUAAAUUCCAAUGGAAUUGUUCGUGUGUUUGUUUGUAAAUAAAUGGUGUGGCUUGGUAUCUAUGGUUUGGAAGGGGUGGUGUGAACCCUAUAGGAUCGAGGUUCGCCCGAUAUCAUGGUGGCCGAUAGUGGAAACUGGAAACCACUCUACAACAACAGACAGCAGUGCAUCGACGACGAUUCCACUUGACGCCGAUUCCACCCGGCAGGUGUCUACAGGUACAUUUACAGCCAGUUUUUAAAAGGCACGCAGAACUUACUGUAUCUCCGUCAUAAUGUGAUAACGCAUCGUUAAACGUAAUCUCAAUCACUGGAUGAGUAUUUUCAGUUUUUAACACGAAUUAAGAUAUAGGUAUAUCUUAAUUCGUGGUUUUUAACGACACAAUUAAUAAUACAAAUUCAAUCACACGAUAGCAGUCAAAAGAUAAGAAUCUGUCCAUUAAACGAUAUAAUUAAAGUUACGUUUAUAAUUAGCAGAAUCAGUUCCUCGAUAUCUAUACAACUAUGGAUUUGUAUGUUGAUAUUCUUACCAUUGUGUUUACAGAGGAGGUGACUUCUGUUUUAAAGAUGGUUUGAAUAUAAAACCAACCGACUGGUACCUACAUCUAAAAACCAAAGAUUUCGAUCAUCAAUCCAUGGUCAGCCGUCUUGAAAAUCGUAGAAAUGGUAUAGAAUAUAGUAUUGAAAUUGGAAGCCCGGACCAUGGACAACUGAUCGAUUUUCAAAUUUCCGAAGACUUAUUUUCAGUAUGGCUUGCUGAAAUUAUUUCUGAAGCUUCCUUCAUUAUGAGCCAUGAAAAAUGUCGAAUGUAUAUACAAUAUAAAUAUCAGUAAAAAAAUAUUCUUAAUAUGCAUAAAUUAAACAACAAUGCGCCAUAGACUUAACGAAAGUGACACUAGACAAGACAUAUGAGUUAUGGAGAAUGAAGUUCUGUAUAUCAUACCCAAUCCUAGAAGGCUCAGCGUUGAAUUUGUCAGAUACGAGCACUCUUCAGAUGACUUCAAAACGAUGGCAAUUAUGUACUGGACAAUUUUUGUAGGCCACGAUCUAUCUCACACGGCAAUCUCUAUCAUGAGAGGGAUUAACACAUAAUAAUCUCUGGAAUCAAGUACCAGGUUGGACGCUAGUCUGUUGUGUCAUCGGUAUGGAGUGGCACAUGCUUGGGCAAUAGUCUACAGUAAAAGCUUAUAAAUUCAAUAUAUUAAUUCCUAGAAAAUAUUUUUUUUUAAACCCAGAUUUUGAAGAUAGAAAAAAAUUGAGUCAUCAUCACAUCACAUUGAGUACACAUUUCAGAAACAUCCUGUAUACGGAAAACCGAGUGAUCAACACAAGUAUUUCGCUAAAGGAACAUUACUACCGACCUACAGCUUACAAAUUAAUUAUACAGUGUUCAUCCAAACCACGCGUUUGAAACGGACAUUGUCAGCUUGGAUAUACAACGAAGCUGCGAUCAUGGUAUACCAAGAUACUGAAAUGGCUGAAUUGCAACUCCGUAAUUCCCAAUCAAUUCCUAAAAUCAACAUCGAUCACUAGUCAGAAUUGGUCGAUACAUUUCAAAAAUAACCUCAUAUAAAUCAUUGAUGUAUUUAUUUAUAAUGUAUUAUCGUUGAAAAACAAUAGUAACGGUUUUUUAAAUUUAAUAAUCAAUAAUAUCAGCCUUUAAUCCAACCUUUUUCAUUUUACCUAUGUAGUGUCAUGUUUUUAUAAAAUAUUUUUAAAAUUAAU